CUGUCUCUGCUUUUUAACCUCACAUCUUUUGUAGCUGGACUAAACUAGUGUUCUGAGUGGUUCUUCAGGUGGGCGAUGUACAAAGAUGAUCUUCGUCUCUAACCACAAAACCAUAUGUGCUGGAACUAGGGAUUUUCCACCAGCCCUUGGCUUGAAGUAGUUUCCAUCCUAUAAAGGGUUUACAGUUAAAUGAUUCAGCACCCCUACUAUUCAAAAUUGUUCCAGUACUACUGCACAAAAUGUACUCGAUUAACACAGGGUGCAGACCUCACUCUAAUUUUAAUAGAUAAAAUACCUUAUUUCUAAGGUUUCUGUGUAGUUUGUGCCUCACUGUAAAUGGAGUCUUCCAUGGAUUACACAUGUCUUCUUAAAGGGCCUUUCCUCUCACUGGGGCUACAGAACCUAAAUCACCGCUUUCCCUCUUUGCAUUGCUCAAUCUCCAGGCAGAAGCACGAGGAAGAAUUUUGGGAAUACAACUCAUUCCAGUACUGGAGAGCACCGGUACCUGCUAUUGAUCUGUCUGUCAUUCUGGACUUAGAUGGGGAGAACAUGAGAGAAUCAAGAACUACUUCCAGGACUGAAAUCAUAGAGACUGAAAUGGAAACCUGAGUAAUUAAUUCCUAGUAGCAAAUCUAGUUUGAGGAGGCUUGUUUCUAUUUGAAGUCAGGUUUUUCCUACUUUGGAACAACAUGUAUGUUUCUGACAUUUUUAAAAAGGAAUGAUAUAUUUUUGUCAGUUCACAGAAGAAAGGAUGGGAUUUACAUUGAAGAAGGGCUAUUAUUGGACACUUGCCAAUAAACUGGAAAGAUGAUUUUAUCUAUACAGUGAAGAGAAGGCUACUGACAUGGGACUGGCAGAAAUAUUUGAAAACAUGGAUGUGUAACAAUCUGUACAAAAUCUGAAUUUAUUCCUGGACAUUCAUAGCCGGUAAACUGAAUAGCUUUGAUGCACUUCAGGUUGAAGACCAAUGCCAACACUUUUCUCCUGUCCUGAAUAGAAAGGAUGUAGCUGGUAUACAUACAUAAAAGUGAGGUUUUUUUUAAUGCCAUGCAUUUAUUUUAAAAACUACAAUACAACCACCUUUAUAAUCUUGUCUGAUGUUUUUGCUUUAGUUGAACAAAAACUGAAGAAAAAUCAGAUAAAGGUAUUUCUGUGCAAACCAGAAAUGACCAUGGUGGGAUAUUCUUUUCUGCUCAGAAUUUCUAGAAGUUAUUUCACCUUCUCACUAGUGAUUCCUCAAAGGGUGGGUGAUUUGUUGGUUUUUUUUCCCACAUGCUCAAAUUAGUGGUGUUCCUGUUCUUUGUGACAGUUUGUGGAGUUGAACUGCCUGAGAUGUACAAAGCUGACAAAAAGAGAAAUGUGAAAUGAUCAGGCACGCUUUUCCUGGGGUCAAGUGAAUUGGGUCCUGGUCCUGCAUAGACUUGAGCAUGUGCAUAACUUUUCAUACCUAUGUAGUCCCACUGCAUUAAUGUGCUGCUGCAGGAUUGGGGACCUUAGUGCUCUUUUUUUUAUUUGAGAACUUUUGUCAGUAGUAAUUGACUAAAAUUAGAUGUCUUAUCAGUGAACUUUGUUUUCGUGCGAUUUGUCUCCAAAUAGGGUGGCAACAAGAGAUUUUUUUGUUCAUAUUACAUCUGCUUUGAGAAGGUUUCUUGGUGGAUUUUUUUUUAAAUAUUUUAUUCAAGAACAGUCAAGCUUCCAAUGUAUAUUCGAGCAUUUUUGUAUUUAAGUUAAAUAUCUCAGCUUUUAUUCUGUCUUCAGAAUAUUACACUAUUGUAACUUGUUAUUGCUUGGAUGUGUUUGUUUACAGUACCAAGUUGAAUGGCCCAUUUAAUAAACAUUUGGAAAAUC